CCCAUAAAUAAUCAAAAAUCCGUUUAGGUCCUUUAACUUUAUUUAAAGUAUCAGUUUGGUCCUUUCUGUUAAUUUAGUUCAAAAAUACGUUAAGUUUAGGGAUCAAACUAAUACUAAUUAAAUAAGUUAAGGGAUCAAACCAAUACUAAUUAAAUAAGUUAAGGGACCAAAAUUUAACCUUUUUUUGAAUUAAAUUAAUAGAAAGGAUCAAACUGAUACUUUAAAUAAAGUUAAGGGAUCUAAACAGACUUUUUAUUACUUAUGGGA
rfam:Medicago truncatula strain A17 chromosome 8, whole genome shotgun sequence.